AUUUUUGAUUAAGAAAACGAAAAAAAAGGGAGGAAGGAUUCACUAGUUUGUUGAUUGCGUGACCCAGACUGUCCAGAUUUAUAGAUCGAAAUUAUAUGACGUUGUGCCAGUUUUCAGUGUUGCCUUGUGUAUAAAAACGUAACUGGAAAAACGUAGAUCGCACGCCACCACCCUCGCUUGUUUUCCUUCACCCUUCCCCUGUCUUCCUUUUUUUUUCUCCUCCUUUCCAGUCUUCCUUUUCAUUUCCUAUCUUCGUUCCAUAUUUCCACUCUUUUCUAUCUCAGUCAGUUGAAUUUUCUUAUUUGUAUUUUUUUCUUUUCAUUGUUCAUGUUUAUCACUUUUUUUUACUCUUCAUCCUUUCCUUAUUCUUUUCGUUUCUUUUCAUUUACCUUCCUUUUCGUGCGCCUGAUUUUUCCUAACAGGGAACACUCUUUUACCUUCUCUCUUUCUUCUAUUCAUGACUUAAAAAUUGGAAGAAGAGAGUUAAAAAGAAAAGAAGAAAAGAGCUAUAGCCUUUUACCGCUACACAAACAUCGGGGUGUUAAUUUUAAAAACAUUUUCGUCGGUCUGGUUUACAUGCGGGAAUGUUUUCACUACAAGCAAGAGUUAAUUUAUCCUCGCGCGGUCUGUGUUGGUCUGUGGUGGAACGCUGGGUUUGUUUACACCCCACACUGCAACGCGCCCCCUAAUAAAAGCGCAUCGGUUGGGAAAGAAACCGGUGAUGGUCAAUUAAAAAGAUAAUGGAGUCGAAAGUUUUCUGUGGUGCCAGUUACCGAGACUCAUUGGGGCAGGGGAGGGAGGCAGGUCCUUUGUGAUGAAUUCUGGGGCGGGGAGGCGAGGCAGGUGAGGACGUGACAUGACGACGGUAAGGGAAGAGGCACAGGGUGUGAGUGUGACGGGGUGAAAUGGGAGGGCGUGACUGGGAAUGGGCGGGGAGGGAGUGGAGACUCUCCACACGCCAACACACCACCGCCAUAAGGUUCUGUGCGGCAUCAGAGGCACAUCAGGCACUUAUCUCUGAUUUAUGUCCCUUUUGUGUGAGUCUACCAGCGAAGGAGGCUGUGCGGGGGCGCUGGGAGUGUUGGUGUUCGUGGCGCGGCGCGGCGUGGUGUGGGGUUCUCAGGACGCUGACACGAGCCUCGUAACUGAGGCUGAAAAUUAGAGAAAGAGAAUAUGUCAUUUUCAUAGGAAACAUAUUCCUCCAGCCCUUUGACAGUCAUGAAAGGUACGAAUUUUUUUAUUUAUUUAUUUAUUUAUUUAUUUAUUUAUUUUUUCGGGUGUCCUUUCCCUUGUGGUUGGUGCCCCGCAUGCUAAUAGACGGCGGUAACGCUGCGGCGGGCGGGAAAGUGACAACACUGAAAGCCGUCCGCUCAGCCGUGACCAGUUGGCGUUUUUGCAGCACUGGUUGGAGUGUGUGCUGCGCGGCUCGGCCACACCUGGGAGCCGGCCACGCUUACCCGGUCGCGGGCGAGGCUCACGCUUACCUGCGACGCGUGUGGAAGGAAAUGGACAGGCACACACACCAGUCUGCAGCACACCAGAGGGACAGGCACACACACCAGCCCGCAGCACACCAGAGGGACAGGCACACACACGCCAGCCCGCAGCACACCAGAGGGAUAGGCACACACACCAACCCGCAGCACACCAGAGGCGCGGGACUCCCUCCUGAAGGUGGUGGCGUGCGUCACUCGUCCCGCGCUGCGUGUUCCUGCUUUAUCUAAUAUGGUUCGGUUGUGUUGUGAAAUCAUUAUCUUUUUAACAUUUAACUUUCAUCUUUGGGGUCGUGGACAGCACGCCAGGCAAUGUAACCUCCCUGGUCACUGCCCCCUGCCCGCCACCGCCACGCCGGGGCUCACAACAUUCCUCUUACAGACUUCUUGUCAUAAAUUAACUUAAACUCACUCCUGAAGACAAAUCAUUAUUCUUUCUACAUUAUCUGAUUCAGUGCAUUCAACGUGUGCCUGUAUAGAUAAAUCAUACACAGGUGAAGGUAGCAAACUUCCACCCCUUCCUUACCUACCGCUCCCCUCUGUCCCCCAGCCCAUCCACACCCUGCCGCCCGCAAGUGACCAGUCUGUCCGGGAGGGUUCAGCUGUAAGUCUGUUCCCUGCCAUGCCGCAUUGCAAGAAAGUCAUCAUAGUUCCCGACACUGAAGCAGAUACACAGAGAAGCCACGGGCGAGGCUUGAAGCGAGACAUAAGGAAAAAUCUGUGAAAACGUGGAGGCAGGCGGUCAGUCACCCAUGAGGGAAGGUGAGGGAGCGUUACGCAUAUUACUGCGGGGAGAAGUCACGACGCUGCGAGAGGGGAUGAGGGGGAAGCAGCAGGAGAAAGGGAAGAGGCCACGUCCCCAGCAAGAGGAAACGUGUAGUGGGAGUCAAAGAGUUAAUAAAAGAAGUGCACAGAAUCAGGAAGAAAAUGGGCAAGCGAAUACGAUAUAGAAAACGUUAAAGCAGCGACUUGUUCCUCAGUUUUUCGCUCCUUACCAGUAAUUUUCAUGCAUGAAUGUUACGUGUUCUUGCCAUUGCAUCGUGGGAAGCCGUCAGGUGAGAGCGAGCCGAGGGAAUGACCUUUGGCACUCCAAUAAUGAAAUGGAUGAAGUCAAAAGCGGGAAUAAGAGUGUGUGCUGCUCUGGACCACUGAACACCCUCGCUUCUCACGCCAUCUCGCUCAGAGGUGAAGGAAUUAUGCUGGACGCGGAAGUGGCAGCGAGGAAUGGCAGAAGAGAGGGAUGCGCAGCGUGCCCUCUUCAUCGAAAGUAAAUUAGUACAUGUGAUGGAAAUUACUGCAGAUAACCACGUAGAUAAACCACUAAAUAUAUAAUGGAUCUGAGAGUAAAGAUAGAGUAGAAACCAUUGUAUUAAUGAGUAUGACAGUAAAUGAAGCAUGAAAGCACCGACUUGAGGAUUUUCAGAAUACGAAAAAAAAGAGGGAUUUUAAAAUUACGAAACGAGAAUGGAAAAAAAGGCUACUGCAGUGAGACAAAAAAGAGGCGGCGGUGUGCAGGGGAGUGUGGCGAUGAGUGGUGCAACCUUGGGGAGUUACGGCACACGUGGGAGCGGCGGGUGCAGGCGUGGUUAGGUUUUGCAGAAAAGAAACACACAUCACAGCACAUUAUGGCAGUAAGAUUGGCGGUGUGUGUGGGACGAAGAAACGAAUGGUCGGGGCGUAAUGACAGUCGCGGCGUGUUUUCCCCAAGAUUAAGAGAACCUGCAAGUGAGACAGAGAGGAACCUUCGUGGGUAAUGCGUCCUGUGUUUUCUUUUUCCUUUUUUCCUUUU